GACAGAGGAUGCAAGCGUUAUCCGGAAUGAUUGGGCGUAAAGCGUCUGUAGGUGGCUUUUUAAGUCCGCCGUCAAAUCCCAGGGCUCAACCCUGGACAGGCGGUGGAAACUACCAAGCUGGAGUACGGUAGGGGCAGAGGGAAUUUCCGGUGGAGCGGUGAAAUGCGUAGAGAUCAGAAAGAACACCAACGGCGAAAGCACUCUGCUGGGCCGACACUGACACUGAGGUGCGAAAGCUAGGGGAGCGAAUGGG
rnacentral:rRNA from 1 species